rnacentral:misc_RNA from 1 species
AACGCACAUUGCGCCCGCCAGCAUUCUGGCGGGCAUGCCUGUUCGAGCGUCAUUUCAACCCUCAAGCCCCUCCGGGCUUGGCGUUGGGGACCGGCCCGCCCCUGCGGCGGCCGCCCCCGAAAUACAGCUGGCGGUCACGCCGCCGCUUCCUCUGCGUAGUAGCAACAGCCUCGCACUGGGACGCGGCGCGGCCACGCCAUAAAACAGACGAACGUCUUUCUGAUGGUUGACCUCGGAUCAGGUAGGAAUACCCGCUGAACUUAA